AAGAAGGGCUAGACCGUUGCUAUACCCGGAAGCUGAUGAAGAGAAGAAUCCUCCACCUUCUACUGCAAAUAACAUCUGUGAAGUGAAAAGAUUUCAUCAUCAACAUCACAUCACGUCACGUCAUUUUUUUCAAAACAAAAGUUCACCUUCAGAUUUACAAGGAAAAGGGGAAAAGAACAUAAAGUGAAAGGGUAACAGACUCACUGGCGGAUCUGAGAGAGGAGGAAGAGAUAACCGGAGAAAAUGGCCGGCGUAUGCUCAGAGAGAGGAGGUACUUUGAUGAAUUGCUUUUGGCGAUGAAAAGGAAGUAAGUAGCGGCGCGUGUGUGGGUCCCGUUUUGAUCUUUUUCACUCAUGUUUUAGAAACCGACUCGACAUGAAAGUAGUUUGCAUUUUUUGAUAGAUUGAUACUAAUACUAUAACUAGAUUUUGAUCCGCGCUUAUUAUUUUUCACUUUUAUGAAAUAUAUUAUUUGUUUGUA